GGCGAACGGGUGAGUAACACGUGGGUGAUCUGCCCUGCACUUUGGGAUAAGCCUGGGAAACUGGGUCUAAUACCGGAUAGGACCGCAUGCUGCAUGGUGUGUGGUGGAAAGUUUUUAACGGUGUGGGAUGGGCCCGCGGCCUAUCAGCUUGUUGGUGGGGUGAUGGCCUACCAAGGCGACGACGGGUAGCCGGCCUGAGAGGGUGUCCGGCCACACUGGGACUGAGAUACGGCCCAGACUCCUACGGGAGGCAGCAGUGGGGAAUAUUGCACAAUGGGCGCAAGCCUGAUGCAGCGACGCCGCGUGGGGGAUGACGGCCUUCGGGUUGUAAACCUCUUUCACCAUCGACGAAGCCGCAGGUUUUCUUGUGGUGACGGUAGGUGGAGAAGAAGCACCGGCCAACUACGUGCCAGCAGCCGCGGUAAUACGUAGGGUGCGAGCGUUGUCCGGAAUUACUGGGCGUAAAGAGCUCGUAGGUGGUUUGUCGCGUUGUUCGUGAAAUCUCACGGCUUAACUGUGAGCGUGCGGGCGAUACGGGCAGACUGGAGUACUGCAGGGGAGACUGGAAUUCCUGGCGUAGCGGUGGAAUGCGCAGAUAUCAGGAGGAACACCGGUGGCGAAGGCGGGUCUCUGGGCAGUAACUGACGCUGAGGAGCGAAAGCGUGGGGAGCGAACAGGAUUAGAUACCCUGGUAGUCCACGCCGUAAACGGUGGGUACUAGGUGUGGGUUUCCUUCCUUUGGGAUCCGUGCCGUAGCUAACGCAUUAAGUACCCCCGCCUGGGGAGUACGGCCGCAAGGCUAAAACUCAAAGGAUUUGACGGGGGCCCGCAC
rnacentral:rRNA from 1 species